rnacentral:lncRNA from 10 species
CUUUGGAGGCCGAGGUGGGCGGAUCACCUGAGGUGAGGAGUUGGAGACCAGCCUGGCCAACAUGGUGAAACCCUGUCUCUACUAAAAAUACAAAAAUUAGCAGGGCGCCGGUGGCUGGCCUGUAAUCCCAGCUACUAGGAAGGCUGAGGCUGGAGAAUCGCUUGAACCCGGGAGGCGGAGGUUGCAGUGAGCUGGGAUCGCGCCAUUGCACUCCAGCCUGGGCAACAAGAGUGAAACUCUUACUCAAAGAACAAACAAAAACACUCCGGUUUUAAACAGACAAAACGCAACGCUUCGGUAAAGCAUGAGCUCUUAAGUCAGCCAGGCCCCUUGUACCCGCUCAACGCCCAACCUCAACGUCCAGCGCCCAACGUCUGGCCCCCAACGACCGAAGCCCCCUCCCUUCCCCUUCAUGCAGGCCCUCUCCCUCCCCUAUACGCCUGGGAACCCUGACCUGGAAAGAGGCAAGAGGACCGCGGAUCCGAACCUGUCUCUGCGGUCUGGCGGUGAUGGCGACUGCCGAUGCUGGGAGCCCUGCCGCCUGGGAUGCGCCCUGCACUUCCCUCGCCUCCAAUCCCCAGUGCGCCCUCCUGGCCUCAGCGCACGCCUGCGCACUCCGCGUCCACGUGCAACUCAAUGUGCCCACGUGUUCCCUCCGCCUUCCCCGGAAGCAGCUUGUGCUCUAGUUACAGGCUCAAAAAGUUCCUUUGCAGAAACUUUUAUUUUGUUCUAGCUUCUUCUAGAAAGAUGUCUCUGGCAACGCCUUUGGCAAAUUUGGGCGCAAAGAUGCAGACUUUGUCUCCUCGAAGGUCACUUGGGUCACCGUGGCCACUUAAAGGUCUUCCAAGGUUUUCCAAAUAAUCAACAGCCUCUGCCUGGUCUUGGAAAGUAAACACACACGUGCUCAUACUUUUUUUCUUUGCUUCCUGACUGAGGGCAUGUGAUUAUACCUGUUGGUGUUACUUAAAGACAAGCUUUUUAAGUUUUGUUUUUUUUUUUUUUUGCUAUGGAACUUUUCUAACAAUUUCAUAAGGGAACCCUUGUGUGCCUAUCAUCUAGUUUCUACCUUAUCAAUUCAUGGUUAAUCUUGUCUACAUCUGCAGCCCAGGCACUCUUCGGGCAAUGUUUUGAAGCAAAUCCGAGAAUUGUAAAUGUGAGACAAAGUAGCGAACGUCUGCUUCUGGCCCCCAGCAUAGUCCUCCCUCACUGUGAAAAAGCCACGUUUGUUCACUGUGUUUGUCAGCAUUUCAGACCCCUUGACUUAGUAACAUCUCAGCCCUCCAGAAGAAUGCCUUGAAGACUGCGGAGAGAACUCAGGUUCCCACCUCUCAGAGUCACUGCAUUUUUAGAAAAGAUACUUUCAGAGAUCUAGGCCUUGCCUUUUUCUGUACCUAACGGACAAGAUUAAUGAUGAUGCCUAGACUUACUCUCGCACCCAAACUUUGAAAAUAUUUUGAUCUUAUAUAGCUUCUGGGCACUUUUAAUGUAACCCCUGGGCAGAACCUCUACCACCUAAUAUUUAAAGUGUGCUGACCCACUGCUUUGGAGUAGUUUAACAGAAAUUCUCUGGGCUCUCCCUGGUUGCAGUCCUCAGUAAGACUCUGAAUAAAACUAACUUCAC